CCCAGCAAGUUUAAAAACAAUGUAAAGAUAUAUCAUGAUUGAAAGAGUCUGAAUAAUAAGCUGGCUAUCCUUCAUAAUGUAUUUGUGAAUUAGCAUGAACAAAAUUUCACAGCUGAAUGAACAUUGAAAAUGUACAUAACAAUUAUAUCUGGAACGACUGGUAAUGAAGGUGAUCAGCCUUUCAUACCUGAUGAAUACAUACAAUAUGUACAGAGUACAAUUCAUAUGCAUAUCUGACUGAAACUACUCGUAGAAGAGUUUAAGUAAAAAGAAAAACUUGAAAACUUGCCUGAACCGUUGAUUACCGUAACACAAUAUAAUAAGCUUCUCCCGAAGACCUAAUAUUAAUAAUAUAGAUCUCCAGUAUUAGAAUAAUAUCAUCACAGUUAUAAAAUAACUUAAACAUAUUACCACAUAAUCUUAUCAGUCUCUUAUACACAUAAGACAUAGCUUCAAGUCAAACUAUUUCAGUCCGAGUUGAAAUCGGUACAAUUCUAUCAUCCCGAUGGUCUAAUCGGACAAUUAACGAGUCUAAGUUUAAUUAAACUCUGCCUAAACACUUAACGAUAUCACAGAUAAUUUUCUUAUCAGUCAAAACAUUUUUCAUAGUCUUGUAAUAAUUUUCAGAUAAUUAAUAUCAUUUAUCUAAAUUUUUCGAUCAUUGAUAACGUAUUUAAUGAAUUAAAUACCACCUAAUUCUUUAAUCAUUAAUAUCUAUUUAUCAUUAAAUAUUAAUGAAAAUCUUAACAUAAUAUUAUAAUAUAUUUAUAAUAUAUCAAAGUAUUUUUAAUACUUUAAAAUCAUAUUUAUAUGAUUUUUAAACGAUUAAAUCCAUUAUCCGAUAAUUGAUAUUAAUAAUAAAAUAUUAAUAUUUUUAUGCCAAAAUAUCAAAAGUUGUAGUCUAUAACUUAAAAUAUUUUUCUAAUACUUAAAUUAUUUUUAUAAGAUUUUUAAAGCAUUAAUUCUAUUUUUCCAUAAUUUAUUUAAUAUAUAUAUUAAAAAAACUAAUUACCAUUAAUAAUAAACUAUUAAUGAAAUUCAUUAUAAAAUAUUAAAAGUCAUUAAAAAUAACUUAAAAUAUUUUAUAACACCAUAAAAUAAUUACUUCUUACCACAAUAAUUAUUUCCCUUGCUGCUUAACUCUGAACGUAAUACAUUAUAAAGAGGUCCUGGAGAUGUUAUUCUCCAUCCCCGUAUACCACCAUGACUAGCCAAGGUAAAGAUAUAACCAUCCCCAAUAGCCAUAUGAAUUACAGGACUAUUAUGAGCCACCCAUUAUUGAAGUAUAACUCUCAUUCCUAGAUUUUCUGGCCUUCGGGAUGCCAUCUAGGUGACUCUGGAAGUUAAAACUCCCUGUGUUAUCAGUUUGUUUUGGGCCAUCAUCAAAAUAAGGGGGGAGCAAUACCCAAUUUUAAAUCCAGAUUAUGGCUGCUGCCUCCAGUAUCAGCUUCAGCACUUAACUCGCCAUCAUAUGUGCUUGGAUCAAAAUUGGUUACUGCUUCCCUUCCAUUGCAUUUUAUUGCAGCUUUGUCAUAUGCCCUUGCUGCUUCCAUUUCGCUGUCAAAUAACCCAAGAUAGAUAUACUUCUUGCCAAGAAACUGUCCCAUUCGAGCUUCCCAUCGUCCACAUGGAAGAAACAUAAUUUGAUCUCCCCUAGCUAAUUCGUCACCGCUACUUGAUACCCAUGAGGGACAAGACUCCUGCUUGCCCUCAAGUGUUGCACUCUGGACAGCCUCCUUUUCAUUAUAUUUAUCUACUUCUUCCCACGCUUUCAAGCCUAACGUCCAAGCCUCAUCCGCCAUGCUUUUCUCCUGACCGAAUUGCUGCUGUAGUUGCUGCUUGGGCUCACCGAUUGACACGGUCAGAACAGGAGCAUUAAUGUUAUUAUUAUAAUUAGAAGAAAAGAUGGCAAACGACAAUAAGCAAUGAAGUUUCGCCGGCGAAUCCGUUUGCUAUCCUUCUAUCUCUUUCUCCCUUGCCAUCGAUGUUGAGCCAACAACCCUUGGGCGGGUUGUGACCGGAGACCACUUGGAAUAGCAGCUCUGGACCAGGUUCCAUUAGAUAAACUCACGUCCACCUCGACCGUAGGAUUGCCUCUGCUGUCGAAGCUUUGUCGUGCCUUGACAGACUGGAUCGUGGUCAUCGACUCCACGAGUAGCCAUCUGCAGCUUACUCGGCGUUUUGGGCUAGCAUCAUGUUAGAAGUAACAACGAGCAGUUCUUCAACGGAGAAGAUGGCUAGUUCGAUAGUUCUGAGCUGGCCGACAAGUUGAAUCCGGUGAAGGAGCGAUCGUGAAUCCGGCCAUGCAUGUGUGGUGUUCGUUAACCGGUGAAAACUCCUUGAACGACUGGCAAUGAGAGAAUUAUCAGAUAGAUAGAGAUACAUUUCCUUCCUAGAAGCAAAAGACGGGGGAAUCUUCCAGCACGAAUCCCCAUAAUCAACCGACCGGGCAAUGAGUUCUUGAUAAUCAGACGGAAGAAAACUCUCCCACCGAAACUCAGUCCCUCGCCGGAAAUUUAUGGUCUGAUCUUGGCCCUAACCACCGAGGCUCGACUGAUCACUAUUUUUCUCUCGGAAGCAUCACUAAUGCUUGUUCUUGCACUAGUGCUGCAACUGCUACUACUAUUACUCCGAGACCACAUCAACGAGUCCUUGCUGUUAACGCUGCUCGUCCGGCGUGGAGUUGAGGAGAGAGUGUAGUCUAUAGCACAAAUAACAGAAAGGAUGAGAAGGAAGUGGAAGAAGAUGUGAGUUCAGUUCAUGGUGGCAUCAAGCUUUGCACGGUGAUAUGGCCAUUGCAGGUGGUUUUGGGUUUAGUGGAAAUGUUUUCCUCCCACCCAAAAUGGCUGUGCUCCCAUAAUAAUAAUACUACUGCUUUUCCCUUUUUAAUAGCUAAUCAUCUAUCAACUUAUUUUAAUCAAGGAGAGGAAAAAUAAUAAUAAAAGAUCCCCUCCGCCCACAUGCGUUUGUCCCCUCAUCAAUUAUUUUCCUCUUUUCUUUUCUUAUUCCACCGACUCUCAACAAUUAUAGAACAAUAAUUUACAAAGGUUAUUUUGGUAAUUUCCAUACCAAAAAUAAUGCACAAGGGUAUUUUGGGCAUUUUACUAGCAAUAAUUGAAUUUCUACCCUUAAAAAUGCACAAGGGGCAUUUUAGACAUUUCGCUAGCAAUAAUUCACUAAAUGUGACAAAAGGGUAAACUAAACUUUUUCACCUCUAUUAUUAAGGACAUUAUAGACAUUUGCUACAACCCUUAGGGUUUUGAAAAAUUAAUUUUCUAAUAUUUUCCAAUUUAGGUUUUCUAAAUAGGAAAUUCAUAUCUCUAAAUUAAAAUUAGGAUUUUCAAAUUACAUUCAAAUUUCCCAAUCAUAAAUGAAUCUUACUAAUUAGGAUAAAUAAUUUCCUAAUUAAAAUAGCUAAUUUAUCAAUUAGCUCCGUUAGGGUUUUAUACCGUAAAAUUAGGAUUUUCUAAAUUAUAAGAAAAUCUAAUUUAAUCAUUAGGGUUUCUUAUAAAUCGUAAAAAUUUUAUAACUAAACGGGGAUGUUCUUAAUAUAUACGAUUAGGGUUUGACACAGGUUUAAUUUAUCUGGUCAACCCUUGACCGUUAACCACAUUCUGUACACAUGAUACCGUAAUCCUGAAUAAUUCACUAAAAGAAAUUUUAUAUCCACAAAAUUCCUUUUUGAAAACAUCAAACACAUGCACUUAUUUUCUGUCUAGGUCUAUUAUUUGACCUUAAACCAAUCAUCUAAGAUUUUAAUAAAUUUUCUAAAUUCUCGGGUUGUCAUAUUCACCCCUUCUUCUAAGAAUUUCGUCCUCGAAAUUAAAGCAUCCUAAUCUUUGCUCAUUCUCUUGAUCAAAACUAGGUUUUUAAUUUAACCUUUACAAUUUCCUCAUUCGAGGAUUUCUCAUCUAUUAUCACAUUUCACCAUAACUACUCACUAGGAGUUUACAUCUUCUAAACAUUCAUCAAAACUAGGUUGUCAUAAUAACCUUUAUUUAAUCAUCUCAGAUUCUACUCGUACGCAAUGAGUUUACACUAUUUCAUAUCCAUCAUCACAUUGUACCACAACAUUACUCUGAAGAGUUAAAAAAAACUUUUCAUAUCUGUCUGAGGGAUCAUAAAAAUUAUGAACUUUGAACUCCGAGGUUUAGGGGUAUUUCUACCUGCUACCUCUUUCAAUUAAGAAAGAAAGGUACUCUACCUCUUAAACAUUUCUUUAAUAGGUAUGUUUACAAUCACGAAGAAGGUAAACUACCGAUUCUGGUACUUUAGAUGAUCAGUCUAUUGUACCUUAGUAAUCCGAACGACUAUAUGCGUCCUUAAAUUGGAAUAUUCUAUCCAAUUAGUAUAUCCCCAUUUUCAGGGUUGUUCACCUCAGACUUAGUAUAGGAUUCCGCACCAAAACAAUUUGGUUCGGGAAAUUUCUUUCAAUGAACACUUAGAGUUUUCAUAAACAUUAGUCUAGCUGAAUCGAAUAGCAUAGACUCAUAUCGAUAAUUCAGUUCAAUAGAAUUAUUUAAGUAUAGCCAAACCCCGUUGGCAAAUUAAAAUUUUGAAAACAUUUUUCGAGAAUGACGUCAUGAUGCCGCACUGUAUUUACAGUCCGUUGAGGAUUCCGUCAUUUGGUGAUUUUAUCAUACUACAUCAUACCAUAGUGGGUUGACGAUCCUGAGAUCACAUCCAACACUAAGUAAUACUGCAUUGAUGACUCCAUCAUUUUUUUAUCAUCUCUGCACCAGGUUGCAUGGUACAUAAGUGAUAAAUAAAAACAACUUUUGAUACUUCAAAUCUUUCGCGUCUAGCCGAAAUAAGUAGCAUAGACUGUACUUUAAACCGUUUCAAAAAUGAUUACGAGUCUAUAUUUUUGUUUUCAAAAGGCACAUAGUGCGUAUUUAGCUUGAUGUCAAAAAUUCGAAGUCUAGCAUAGCUAGAAGAUUUGGAAUACCUAUGCUUCCAUCAUCAACUUCACUUUUUCUACUGAUCCAUUACUUAAUAGAUCUAUCUAUUCUUAUAAUCCUCAAUACUUCUUUCACACAUAACUAUACCCAGUUCGUCAAACUUACCACACUUAUGAGUUCAGGAACUUACCACAAUCAUAUGAGUUUAAGAACUUUCCUAGACAGACCUUUGGCGUCCAUUCGCUGAGGGGUCCAUAAACAUUUCAUAUAAUCAUGAGUCACGAACGUACCAUAAGUAUGAGUUUUAAGAACUCGUACUUAACCUUAUAUCCUCUAUCUAUGACCUAUCUACCUGUUAUACACAUGAGAAAGGAAUCACCCUCUGAACAUGCAUAUAACAAAUAGCGCGACAUAAACAUUUCAAUGAUUAUCAGUGCCAGAAACUAAGUGGUUUUUACACCAAGUACAAUUCAGCUCCCAUACGAAGAAUCAUACAACUCAGCUGCCGACAUGAGUCCUCAAUUGAAUCCCCACCUAACACUAACCCCUUCUCCAUACGAAUUUAAUUCGUAUUUAUAAUUCUCUUCUGGAUCUGUACCAAUUUAUAGUACAAUUCAUACACAGCAAUCUUGCUGUAAACUUUUCAUCAUUCUCUGGAUCUUUCUUCAUACCAUAACCUUAUCAGAUCACGGAGUGAUCUCAUCGUAUAUAUUACGAUUCAUUGCUAUUCUGUGAUCGUUUUGUUUUACGAUCUCCCAUCCUUACACUUGUAAUCUCUUAGACUCUAUCUAUCCACUUCCUAUACUUGGUACACAUCGAGUCUCUAACAGUUUUCAAUAUGGUACGCUGAGUGGUUUCCCACAAACAACCAACAAACUAGGUUCCGAGUUGCUAGUUCGUAUAUACCUCCGCUCUAUGAAGGAAUCGUUUAGCCCAGAUACCAUACAUCAACUAGUUUCGAGUACAAUGGUACCAUACUUAAACCUAACUUUCUGACCCUGCGAGAUUCUUCAACUAACUCUAUGUGAGUUAGUACUUAUCCUAAUCACUGCGGUUAUUGGUCUCAGGUAUUGCUACCUAAGCUUCAUAACCAACAGCUUUGAUACCAACUGUAGCGUCCCCCAAAUCCGGGUCCCGAAUCGCCGCGGAUCCGGUUUGCUAUUUCUACAACUGUUGCGGAAGAUAUAAACAUAAAUUGUUUAUACAUUAAACUUUACACACUAUUCCCAAAAUCGAGUAACCUUAACUAAUACACAAUCGUGAACUGUCUAACACAUGACAAUACUAUUCUUCAACAUACUUUACAACUUAACUUCACAUUCUAUCCCAAGCUGAACUUGGCAUUAUCCUUUUCCUGUAUCUGGCCGUAUUCGCCUUAUCUGCAAUGUUUUAUCAUGAUAUAGCAAGGGUGAGCAUGAAAGUUGCCCAGCAAGUUUAAAAAAAACAAGGUAAAGAUAUAUCAUGAUUGAAAGAGUUUGAAUAAUAAGCUGGCUAUCCUUCACAAUGUAGUUGUGAAUUAGCAUGAACAAAAUUUCAAAGCUGAAUGAACAUUGAAAAUGAACAUAACAAUUAUAUCUGAACCGACUGGUAAUGAAGGUGAUCAGCCUUUCAUACCUGAUGAAUACAUGCAAUAUGUACAGAGUACAAUUCAUAUGCAUAUCUGACUGAAACUACUCGUAG
rnacentral:lncRNA from 1 species